UUUCUGUUUUGCCUUGCCAGUUUUUCUUUGAAGCGACAUUCGAUGGCAAAAAUCCAGAACUGUGCAGCUGCCAUUGCGGUUCUGCCAUUGACGAAAGGAUUUAAUACAGUACAAUAUGAUAUGCAGCAAUACUAUGCAUACAUUUCUCUCCGAAACAUUUGGAAAACUAGGAAGAAUUAUCACCAAGUACACACAAGUUUUCUUGCUUUUUCCGAUAUUCCUUACCCUGUUGUUAGCUACAGGAUUACAAAAUUUUCAUAUAGAUUAUUCUUUGAAGACAUUCAAUAUAGAAGGUGGUAUUGUUGACACAUAUCAAACGUUACUUUUGCAAUUAUUUCCUAUGGAUGUUUCUUAUAACUUUGAACCGGGAAGGCUCUUAAAAUUCAUUCCCUAUGGUACUGUUAUCGUGCAAGCUAUGGACAA
rnacentral:lncRNA from 1 species